rnacentral:rRNA from 1 species
UACGUAGGGGGCAAGCGUUGUCCGGAAUUACUGGGCGUAAAGGGCGCGUAGGCGGCCUUCUAAGUCAGACGUGAAAUCCCCGGGCUCAACCCGGGAACUGCGUCUGAGACUGGAAGGCUCGAAUCCGGGAGAGGGAUGCGGAAUUCCAGGUGUAGCGGUGAAAUGCGUAGAUAUCUGGAGGAACACCGGUGGCGAAGGCGGCAUCCUGGACCGGCAUUGACGCUGAGGCGCGAAAGCGUGGGGAGCAAACGGG